CGUUUGGAUUAAUUCUGAUAUAAUAACUGUUGGUUUAUUUAUCGGUGGAGCAGCAGAACCUUUUUCACAGACAGUUUUCCUGCACGUUGGCUUGUUUUAACCAGUUUUCUACCUUCGGCUGAUUCUACCAGCAGACACUGAAAGGACUCUGAUAGUUCGAGUGAAAGCAGCAGUUCCUCCUUAAGGUCAGAGAUUGCAGCAUCUGAGGGCCUCUUCAAAAGAAGACGUAGUUGAUGAAGGCGUUCUGGAGCAGGACCAGAAAGACCACGACCAAGCAGCCUUGAGAUCUUAGGCAGCGUCUCCCUCAGGUCCCUCUCUAUCUCCCCACACAUCCACCAACCACUGGAACACAUCUCCAAAGUUCUGCCGGGCCAGCUCAGCUUCCCCUCAGAAGAAGUGCGCCACCUGCCAGAUGAAGGAGCCUUUUGAGAGGCAGCUGGCAUCGUGAUUGGACUGUACUUUGGUCUGUUCCAAUCCAGCUUCAGCUCCAGAGACGGCAGGCGGGACGAGUCAACGGAGGCCGGGUGGACGAAGGCAUGCAGCUGAGUACAAUCCAGAAAACAACAGAGGAGGAGUGCAGUGGCCCAGGCCAGAACAACCAGAGUAGCAUCGUAUGUCUCUUAGAAAACAUCAUAGUAUAGCCUUUGGUAUGAAAAAACGCCAUCAUAUACAUCGUAUAUUGUACAAAUAACAAGUCAAAGGAAAGAGACAUACAUUGUAGAAUUGUAGUAAUUGUGGGCUGACUGAUUUACUGAUUAUCAGUAUUUUAUUUUUUACUGAUUUACGGUAAUAAAUACAUUUAAAAAUGGCGCUACUUUGGCUCUGAACCUUUAUCUACCUGUGGUCGCUCUGUCUUCUGGAGUGAUUUGAUUGGUUAUACGUCACGAAUAAAACUCCUUUAACUUAACAUCUGUAAACAAAACAAAAACGUAUCAACAAAGUUUUCUGUUAGAGUUUGUGUUCUUCUAAGUUUAACUCCAAGAUUUUAAAUACUUUCAUUUACUGCAAAUGAAUAUACUCCAAAUGUCUCACUAAUAAUCAUUAUCAGCCUUAAAAACCCACAAAACACCCCUCUAUACUCGACCACACUUAGUACAGUCCGGUUCCCCCUUCUAUAAAUCUGCUUGGAAUCUUCCACUUCCUGUUUGUCAAAGUGGCCUUCUACCUGGACAGGUUUUGUUGGAGCUCAUGCAACAAACAUUUUGGGUAACUGCACUUUAAUAUGGAUGGAUGACACUGAAUUAGAGUCUGUUUUAAUGAGACUGAGUUAAGAUGUGUAGCUCUGUCAUUAAAUAGGAAAUUAUUUCUCAGAAUUCACAGAGAAAAGUCUGAAAUGUUUGCUAGGUUAGCAUCCCACAUGUUCUUUGGCUCAGCUAAAGCUAACUCUCUCCAACUUCUGGAUCUCUUGAGUUGCUUGUUGUUAAAAUAUCUUGCUAGAGGUGCUGAAGCUCAGAAAGUCUGAGAUGUUUGUUCAAAAUAAGCUCAUUCUCAAGUCUUAUCUGAACUGUCCUCUUUUGUUUGAACUUUCCCUAAACUUAGGAGUUAAUGACAGAGCAGCACAUCCAGACUCAGUCUCAUUUAUGUAGAGAUUAAACUUCAGUGUCAUUCAUUGAUGUUAAAGUGCAGUUUUUCAAAUGUUUGUUGCACAUGCUCCCGACCAAACCAGUCCAGGUGGAAGACGAUGUGAAGAGAAAGCUCCAGAGGAUGAAUAUCACACAUUUACGUUGGAAAUAAAUGUCCUUUAAUUAGACAUUGUCAUGCAAAAGUUGGAUUUCCCUUUGUUGAGUGUUUUGUUGAUGUUGGUUUCUAAAUGUUUUUUGACACUCGGCCCCAAAGAUUAAAACCUUCUACGGCUCACAAGCUGCAACAAUUCACACAUUAUCAACUAUCUUUCUGACUAAACUAAGAUAAAAAGUGAAAAACUGCCUGAUUCCUGCAUCAUGAAUGUAAAUCUUUUUGGUUUUUAUGACAGUAAACUGAAUAUAUUUGGGUUUGACAUUUUAUAAACCAAAACAAGAAAUGAAUUACUGGAGAAAACAAUCAACAGAUUAAUGGACAAAGAAAAUGUGUUUUCCAACAUAUAUGGCUGAAUUACUCCAACAUUACAAGAUACAUACAAUUUUAAUUCAAUUUUAUUUAUAUAACGCCAAUUACAGGUCAAAUUGUCUCAAGACACUUUAUUUUUAUAUUUUUUUGUCAUAUUUAAAAUAUGACAAAGUAAGAAAUUUAAACCUCUUGACUAAUCCAAUUUAUUAUUUGGU